UUUUAUAAGAAUUGGAUAGCUCUUUCUCGAUUCGGUGGGUGGUGGUGCAUGGCUGUUCUUAAUUGGUGGAGUGAUCCGUCUGGUUGAUUCCGAUAACGAACGAGACUCCAGCCUGCCAAUCACGUCGAGGUCACCAGUUAUAAGAAUUGGAUGAGAUAUGAUGGCUCGGCCAUCUCUCCCCAGUUCUUAUAUUAAUCAUUAAAAUCCAGAAAUACAACAACACGAGGGAUAACGGUAACAACAGAUCAAUAAUUUAUUCUAGGUUGGUGUAGAGCCGUUUUGUUCCUGGGUGAACAGGCAUGCUGCUAGAAUACCAAGGAAGCUUCGACCACAUGUCGGUAUCGAGUUGAGAGAGCACUGGAAGAUACGUGUUGUCACGACCGCUGCUAGAUAGAG
rnacentral:ncRNA from 1 species